rnacentral:rRNA from 1 species
GAUGAACGCUAGCUACAGGCUUAACACAUGCAAGUCGCGGGGUCUGUUUCGGCAGACGACCGGCGCACGGGUGAGUAACGCGUAUCCAACCUGCCCCUCUCUUUGGCAUAGCCUUUCGAAAGAGAGAUUAAUUCCGAAUAACAUAGUUAGAUUGCAUGAUAUGACUAUGAAAGCUCCGGCGGAGAGGGAUGGGGAUGCGUUCCAUUAGGUAGUAGGCGGGGUAACAGCCCACCUAGCCGACGAUGGAUAGGGGUUCUGAGAGGAAGGUCCCCCACAUUGGAACUGAGACACGGUCCAAACUCCUACGGGAGGCAGCAGUGAGGAAUAUUGGUCAAUGGGCGGAAGCCUGAACCAGCCAAGUAGCGUGAAGGAUUACAGCCCUACGGGUUUUAAACUUCUUUUAUAUAAGAGUAAUGUGCACUACGUGUAGUGUAUUGCAAGUAUUAUAUGAAUAAGCAUCGGCUAACUCCGUG